AGAAGAGGCAGAGGACAAAUGCACGUUCCUGAUGAGAUAAGAGCUACACUUGUAGACCACGUUCUCAAUCAUGGGCUUACAAUGGCUGAGGCUGGCCGAAGGGUGCAGCCAAAUGUUGGGAGAACAACUGUGUCCUCAAUCAUUCAGACUUUUCGUUGACAGAACAGGUUUGUAAUCUAACAAUAGGCACUGUACUGUAAUACUGUAUACUUUCUGUAAUGCUUCAUACAAUAUUGCAGUAUUCGACUUUCAUUUUACAAUAUACAGUAAGUAUAGUAUAUACAGUGACAUUUUGGAUGAGUGACAUUUUUUGGAUAAGAAUUUGUUGCCCAACAGACAGGAACAUCAGGAGGUGUAGGAAGACUGUACUGUAAUUCCUACAGCACUGCAUUUCCAGUUUUCCCUAAGGAAAUUGUCCUAUGUUCACAUUUCUACUUUUGUUUUUUUGUUUUUUUUAUUGUGCUCUGCAGUGCUGUCUUUUUCUUUUCUGUAUCGCAAUGACAUGGUCUGUCAUCAAAUUACAGUCUCUUGCAAUCAAUGCAAUCAAUCUCCCACAUACACUGAGGUGUAACUUACAAUUUACAAUGAUUGUCAUCAAAACUUUAGCCAUAGUUUACAUCAGAACAUCCCUCCAGAGUACACUGUUAUAUUGACAACAUGACUAAGCAAUUUGACUGUCUUAUCCGUACACAAUGACACAAGGACUUGUCAUUCUGAUGGCACUGACAUGUUCAUUGACACAGAUAUUUACUUUUGAGAGAUGUACUAAGGAUUUUGAGCAAGAGACUGGCUUUUGCAGCUAAUCCAUGGUGUUUUGCUGUUUGUACAAAUUGUUUUGAGAAAAGAACUAACUGUUUUGCAAAUGUCGAGGAUGAUUCGAGAAAUGUACCAAAGCGACUGAGAAAAACUGUAAAAUGGGUCUCUGUUGAAUAGUCUCACCCCCCUCAACAUUUAGGCAUUAGUUCAGUUCAUAAGUCUGUACAUGCAAAAUGGUUGAACAAGCUGUCAUAAUAUGUCAAGCAUAUUUCUAUACAUGUCCAUUAGAUGUUCCUGAAUCUGUCCUGAAUUGGUAAAUUGCUCCCAGGUGAAUCUUGACUUUCUCUAACGGUGGGAAAUGUGUGAAGUAUUAGAUCAACCAAUGAUCAACCACUUUUCUGAAAUAGCUCAAAGGUGCAUCUCAUGAACCAUCAACUGGCAAGUAUAUAUAUUGCCGGAGCACAACACAAUGUUACAAUGUCUGACAAUGGAAGGACAAGGAAUUGGACGGGGUCAACAGCCAGAGAGAAGAAGAGGAAGAGGAGUGAGGCUGCGUGGCGGAGGAUAUGGGAGGCAAAACAGAGGAAGAGGCAGAGGACAUAUGCGCGUUCCUGAUGAGAUAAGAGCUACACUUGUAGACCAAGUUCUCAAUCAUGGGCUUACAAUGGCUGAGGCUGGCCGAAGGGUGCAGCCAAAUGUUGGGAGAACAACUGUGUCCUCAAUCAUUCAGACUUUUCGUUGACAGAACAGGUAUGUAAUCUAACAAUAGGCACUGUAAUGUAAUACUGUAUACUUUCUG
rnacentral:lncRNA from 1 species